GAGCCCAUUUUCCUGCUGAAAAGCCCUUUUCUCUGGGAAUGCCUCCUCCAGCUCAGAUUAACAGCACUGGAAAAUCACAAACGUGAGCAGGAACCAAGGGCAAACCAUUGUCACAUGACUAGCCAGUCAUGGGGCCAGAACCCAAGGCCUGAGGAUACAGGGUUCUCCUUCUUUUGAUUUCUGCAACAUGUCAGGUGACCCUCCUCGAGGCAAUCUCAGAGGGUCAUAGUGCCUCUCCCAGAGCUCAGGCAACCAUGAACUUGCCUGAAACUUUUCCUGCAUUCAUUUUAUGGUCACACUCAACUCCCUCUUGCGUAUCUCAUUCUCACUGAGAACAAAACAUCAUCUCCCUUCAUUGAAUCUAAAUGUCCUCAUGUUCUGAAUGUCGCCGGGCCCUUGCUAGACCUAGUGCACAGGGCUUGCUGCUCCCUUUGCUGUAGCUGUCCCUUGGGAGCCUGGAGUCUCUCUCUCUCUCUCUCUCUCUCUCUCUCUCUCUCUCUCUCUCUCUCUCUCUCUCUCUCUCUCUCCGUGGGGG
rnacentral:lncRNA from 1 species